rnacentral:lncRNA from 1 species
GGGGUGUUAGAAGAAUUAAAUAUUUGAAAAUGAAUUCUCCUUCACCCACGGAAGUUCACAGAAUUUCAUGAAGUUAUGAAGAAUAAGUUUGUGCAAAACCCUGUCAAUCACUGAUGACUUUUUUGAAAGCACAAAACUAAUGGUACAGAAAAUUUGAAGUCCAAUGGGAACAAAAGCAACAUCUGCUUUCUAAGUGACCUGGGCUGGAGACCGGCUUUCUCCAUGUCAAAAUCUCCAGUGUGUGGCAAGGUAAGGGGAAGGUACAGGCACUUUCAUCAUUGCAGAGGCUUUUAAUAAUACUAAUUUAAUUAUAAUAGAGUAUAA